rnacentral:rRNA from 1 species
AUUGAACGCUAGCGGGAUGCCUUACACAUGCAAGUCGAACGGAGUGGCGAACGGGUGAGUAAUGUAUCGGAACGUGCCCAGUAGCGGGGGAUAACUACGCGACAGCGUAGCUAAUACCGCAUACUCUUGGAGCGGCCGAUAGCGGAUUCGCUAGGUGGUGGGGGAACGGCUCACCGAGGCGACGAUCCGUAGCUGGUUUGAGAGGACGACCAGCCACACUUGUACUGAGACACGGCCCAGACUCCUACGGGAGGCAGCAGUGGGGAAUUUGGGAAAAUGGGGGAAACCCUGAUCCAGCCAUCCCGCUUGUGCGAUGAAGGCCUUCGGGUUGUAAAGCACUUUUGGCAGGAAAGCGGUACCUGCAGAAUAAGCACCGGCUAACUACGUGCCAGCCGCCGCGGUAAUUC